rnacentral:rRNA from 1 species
GAUGAACGCUGGCGGCGUGCUUAACACAUGCAAGUCGAACGGAGAAAGGGUAGCUUGCUAUCUUUUCUUAGUGGCGGACGGGUGAGUAACGCGUGGGUAACCUGCCCUUUGCAGGGGGAUAACAGUGAGAAAUCACUGCUAAUACCGCAUACCAACUUCUUUCGCAUGAAGGAAGUUUGAAAGAUUUAUCGGCAAAGGAUCGGACCCGCGUUGGAUUAGCUAGUUGGUGGGGUAACGCCUACCAAGGCAACGAUCAGUAGCCGGCCUGAGAGGGUGAACGGCCACAUUGGGACUGAGACACGGCCCAGACUCCUACGGGAGGCAGCAGUGGGGAAUAUUGCACAAUGGGCGAAAGCCUGAUGCAGCGACGCCGCGUGAGUGAAGAAGUAUUCGGUAUGUAAAGCUCUAUCAGCAAGGAAGAUAAUGACGGUACUUGACUAAGAAGCCCCGGCUAACUACGUG